UACGGGGGGAGCGAACGUUGUUCGGAAUUACUGGGCGUAAAGGGCGUGCAGGCGGCCUUGUAAGUGGGAUGUGAAAUGCCCUGGCUCAACCAGGGAACUGCAUUCCAAACUGCAAGGCUUGAGUAUAGGAGAGGAUGGGGGAAUUCCCGGUGUAGCGGUGAAAUGCAUUGAUAUCGGGAGGAACACCAGUGGCGAAGGCGCCCAUCUGGCCUAAUACUGACGCUCAGGCGCGAAAGCUAGGGGAGCAAACAGG
rnacentral:rRNA from 1 species